rnacentral:rRNA from 1 species
AGUGAACGCUGGCGGUAGGCCUAACACAUGCAAGUCGAACGGCAGCACAGUAAGAGCUUGCUCUUACGGGUGGCGAGUGGCGUACGGGUGAGGAAUACAUCGGAAUCUACUUUUUCGUUGGGGAUAACGUAGGGAAACUUACGCUAAUACCGCAUACGACCUACGUGUGAAAGCAGGGGAUCUUCGGACCUUUCGCGAUUGAAUGAGCCGAUGUCAGAUUAGCUAGUUGGCGGGGUAAGGGCCCACCAAGGCGACGAUCCGUAGCUGGUCUGAGAGUAUGAUCAGACACACUGGAACUGAGAGACGGUCCAGACGCCUACGGGAGGAAGCAGUGGGGAAUAUUGGACAAUGGGCGCAAGCCUGAUCCAGCCAUACCGCGUGGGUGAAGAAGGCCUUCGGGUUGUAAAGCCCUUUUGUUGGGAAAGAAAAGCAGCAGGUUAAUACCCCGCUGUUCUGACGGUACCCAAAGAAUAAGCACCGGCUAACUUCGUG